UGGUUCUGGCAUCGAUGAAGAACGCAGCGAAAUGCGAUAAGUAAUGUGAAUUGCAGAAUUCAGUGAAUCAUCGAAUCUUUGAACGCACAUUGCGCCCUCUGGCAUUCCGGGGGGCAUGCCUGUUCGAGCGUCAUAACAACCCUCAAGCUCUGCUUGGUAUUGGGUGUCACCUCUGGUGCGCCUUAAAAUUAGUGGAGGUGCAUCUCGGCUCUAGGCGUAGCAAAUUUUUCGCUAUGGAGCGUAGAUAGCUACUGAUCCAACUACGCAAGACUCUUCAAGGUUGACCUCGGAUCAGGUAGGGAUACCCGCUGA
rnacentral:misc_RNA from 1 species